CUCCUCAUCUGUUCUGAUUCUUUUGUGCGUUGUGCGACCAAACCCUAAUCCCAGAAAAUCUUUUUUUUUAUUCAGUCUUUUAAUCACCAACUGAAAACAAUAAAUUUCUUUCUCUCUGUCUCCUGCUCCAUAUCAGUUCCGAGAAUUGGAGGAAUCAGUCACAUGUUUCUUUCUUUUGCACUUUUUCUUUUCGUUUUUUUUCUUUAAAAAAGUUGGUAAUCAAUUUGAAAUCAACAUAAGCGUCUCCUGCAGUUAGCUUAUUUUCUGAUUCGUUUUUUUACGAACUCAUAUUCUAUUUGCAUGUCCUCUGUUUCAUUCUUUCAUUGUUCUCUGCAAUUUCUUGUUCUUAUCCUUCACUUACAUUUGUGUUUUUAUGUUUACAGAUGGAUUACGAAAGACAAAAGCUUUGUUUUUUUUUAACUGGUUUAACAAAAAAGUUUUGUUAUGAAUAGAUGCUUACAAAAAAAAUUGUUCUGAAUGUUUGCUUUCGGGUUGAAUCGGGUUGUUAAGUUAUUUUAGGUUUAGUUUAGUUACAAUCGGGUUUGUUUGGUUAUAAAACCCGGUCCCGAACCGGACCCGUUUUAUCUUCGGAUCUUUGCGGAUUGUAUGACAAAAAGGUGAAAAAACCAAAUCGAAUACGAACCAGAUAUAUUCCGAACCGAGACCAAACUGAUAUUUCAUAUAAAACGUUGAGAGACACCGCUGGUAGGUACCUAUGACAUUUCAAUAGUUUAAAGUACGAAAUCAGUGGAUGACAGUUUCAAACAAUAUUUCUUCGUAAUGUGCAUAUGCAUUAACGUAUAAUACAUGCUUCUGAGUUUUGAAUGAUUUAAGUUUAAUACUUGUUGAGUUUGUCAUCUAAUUAACAAGAUUUCUUUUAUUUUAUAAGAUCUAGUGUCAUCAAUGUAUUUCAGCACACGUCUCAUUGCGAACAAAGUUUUAUAGUAACUUGUUUUACUCUGCUCAAUAAACAAGCACACCGCAGCGUAUAAACUAUUCAUUCACUUGGUGUCCUCUUUGGUCUGCAGUUUCAGCCAGAUUAAGAUUGGAAGGAACAAAACAAACUAAUGAGCAACAGGUUUGCAAACAAUAUUGCAACCUCUCACCACACUCAUUGUUCUUCAAGGAACUUUCAAUAUCAGCUAUGUGUCUGUCACCGGCUAGACUGGUGUAGCACAGUAGUCGUAACGGGAAUCUUAUGAUUUUAAGCAUAUGUCUGGUCUUCAAAAAUACUAAAUCCACCUGUUUGUAAUACAUGAUGGAGUAGGAUGAUUUAAUAAUAUUUUUGAUUCCAUCUAUGUUGGUAGUGAACAUGAAAAAUUCUGUUUUUAAAAUUUUAGAGUAAAUAAGGUAAAUACUGUUCUUUCACAGAAA